UUCCAUCAACUUACUAAUUCU
rnacentral:piRNA from 1 species